rnacentral:rRNA from 1 species
UACGUAGGGACCAAGCGUUGUUCGGAUUUACUGGGCGUAAAGGGCGCGUAGGCGGCAAUUCAAGUCAUCUGUGAAAUCUCCGGGCUUAACCCGGAACGGUCAGGUGAUACUGUUUUGCUAGAGUGCGGAAGGGGCAAUCGGAAUUCUCGGUGUAGCGGUGAAAUGCGUAGAUAUCUGGAGGAACACCGGUGGCGAAGGCGGCGUUCUGGACUGCAACUGACACUGAGGAACGAAAGCCAGGGGAGCAAACGGG